rnacentral:lncRNA from 1 species
GCUCGCCCGCCCGCCCGCCCGCUCUCGCCCGGGACAUUGUGUUCCAGCCCCAGCGCUCUGGCAGCGGGCCCAGGCGCUCACACCAGCCUCCUCGCCCUGUUUGUGCUCGCGGCUUGCGCUGUGGCGCAGCCUCCCGUGGCCGCGGGGACUCUCAGAACGCACCCCUGGAGGGUGGGCCCCAACAGCCCUGAGCACUCUCCAGCCUCGGAGCACUCGCGCCUCUCCAGAUGCAUCUACCCUCCCUGUCUGGGUGCAUCCCUAUUCCCGGGCUGACCGAGCAUGAGCACAGCUGGGGGCUGGGGCAGGUGUUGAGGGCCCCCUCCCCCCCAUUCCACCCUCCACACAAAUGCUCAGUCCCAGUGACUCAGGAGGAUAGUUGGAAGCAUGCCAGACCUAGACUUGGGAGACCUGGAAUGUGGUCACGUGACGACAGAAGCCCGCUUUGAGGGGACCAAUUCAAGCGAUCCCCAGAGGAGCCUCUUCUCUUUCUCACCCCACCCCUUGAUCCGUCACAGACUUUGGGAGCACGGAGACUCCAGGGAUUCCCGGAGCCCUCAACCAAGUCCGGCCUUUUUGGAAAGCUUGGGAAGCCCCUGGCAGGAUGCUGAGAGGAGGAAGAGCCGAGUGGGAGUGGUGGAGCAAGGGCAGGGUGGCGCAAGAGGACCCCAAAGGCUCUGCCUAUUGUUCAGCCCCCAACACUGGUGUGUUACUGAGAGCGGUCAUUUCUCUCAGCCUGUCCUGCAAAGACGACACCAAGUGCUGGCUCCUCUCCAAAGAGGGGCCUGUGUGCUGAGCCUGAGCCCCUACCGCUCUGGGGUGGUCCCGCUAAGGAUGUCACGAAAAGUCGUUCAGAUUCUGGGCUUCCCCCAUCCUUUGGCCUGCAGAGCAAAAAGCCGAGCUUCCAGGAGAGGUAUGAGACGGCUGUGGGUGCUCCAGGCCCCUCUCUGCAACUCCUGCAAGUUGCUGCGGACCGGAGGAUGACUGAGACGCAGCCUACUGCCUGUUGACAUCAGAGUUGGCGCUCCCAGGAGCGAGAGGAGGGUUAGGAACCAACAGUAAGCGGCUGGCAAAGGGAGGCGGGUAGGGGGACUCCCUUCAACACUCAGCUCCUCCCGGCCCGCCUGCCUGCCUGCCGGCCUUGCCCUGCGAGCAAGCGCCCUGCGUUCCACAUUCGGAAAGGAAGAGCGCUGACCUGGAGUCAGAAGCGCUCACUUCCGGUCCUAGGGCUUCCCAGGCACUUCCCCUCUCCAGGCCAUGGUCUCCUGUGAACACGAAGGAAGCCGUUUUUGGAGGACUUGGACAGGUCCUGCCAGGUUUCCUUUUCCCUGCCUUAGCUCCUUCGCUUGAGUCAUCUCUGCCGCCUGCAGUGCCGGGCUUUCCCAUCGGGCAGGCAGCACAGCCAGGUCUGAGCAGCAGACUGGAGCUCCUGUGGGCAAAGCUAGCUGCUCUGGGAAGGGCCCCAGGGAGAAGACCGCUGUCCUUAGUCACACACAGCAUCCCUCAGCAGACACACGAGCUGAGUGUGGUGCUGCACGCCUGUAAUUCAGCCCGUGGGAAGCAGAGGUCAGGCUUUCCCGGUCAACCUUGGCUACAUCGUGAGAUUGAGGCCAGCCUGAGCCACUUAAAACCCUGCCCCUCCCAAACCAAAACCAAAACCAGGAGCUGGAGCGAUGGCAGGGCGGGUAAGGUGCCUGUCACCGAAAGCAUGAGGACAGGCAAGGUGGUGGUGUGUGUCUGUAAUGCCAACACUGGGGGUAACAGCAGGGACAGGUGGAUCCCUGGAGGCCAUUGCCUGGUCAGCCUGUUUGAAUGAGUGUGCUUGGGUUUAAGUGAGAGCCUGCAAAAUAAAGGUCGGGACUAAUGGAGGUCA